rnacentral:rRNA from 2 species
UACGUAGGGUGCGAGCGUUAAUCGGAAUUACUGGGCGUAAAGCGUGCGCAGGCGGUUCGUCAAGUCUGAUGUGAAAGCCCCGGGCUCAACCUGGGAAUGGCAUUGGAAACUAGCGGGCUUGAGUGUGGCAGAGGGGGGUGGAAUUCCACGUGUAGCAGUGAAAUGCGUAGAGAUGUGGAGGAACACCGAUGGCGAAGGCAGCCCCCUGGGCUAACACUGACGCUCAUGCACGAAAGCGUGGGGAGCAAACAGG